rnacentral:rRNA from 1 species
GAACCUGAAACCGUGUACGUACAAGCAGUGGGAGCACAGGUUUACCUGUGUGACUGCGUACCUUUUGUAUAAUGGGUCAGCGACUUAUAUUCUGUAGCAAGGUUAACCGUAUAGGGGAGCCGGAGGGAAACCGAGUCUUAAUUGGGCGUUAAGUUGCAGGGUAUAGACCCGAAACCCGGUGAUCUAGCCAUGGGCAGGUUGAAGGUUGGGUAACACUAACUGGAGGACCGAACCGACUAAUGUUGAAAAAUUAGCGGAUGACCUGUGGCUGGGGGUGAAAGGCCAAUCAAACCGGGAGAUAGCUGGUUCUCCCCGAAAGCUAUUUAGGUAGCGCCUCGUGAAUUCAUCUCCGGGGGUAGAGCACUGUUUCGGCUAGGGGGCCAUCCCGGCUUACCAACCCGAUGCAAACUGCGAAUACCGGAGAAUGUUAUCACGGGAGACACACGGCGGGUGCUAACGUCCGUCGUGAAGAGGGAAACAACCCAGACCGCCAGCUAAGGUCCCAAAGUCAUGGUUAAGUGGGAAACGAUGUGGGAAGGCCCAGACAGCCAGGAUGUUGGCUUAGAAGCAGCCAUCAUUUAAAGAAAGCGUAAUAGCUCACUGGUCGAGUCGGCCUGCGCGGAAGAUGUAACGGGGCUAAACCAUGCACCGAAGCUGCGGCAGCGACGCUUAUGCGUUGUUGGGUAGGGGAGCG